rnacentral:misc_RNA from 1 species
CGCACCUUGCGCCCUCUGGUACUCCGGAGGGCAUGCCUGUCUGAGUGUCGUGUAGACUCGAUCCCGGGUUAAACCGUGAUCGGACUUGGGCGUUGCCUCUGGCUCGCCUCAAAUGCCUUAGCCGUGUGACGUGAUAGGUCUUCGUCCGAACGGCUCUAAACCCAUCUCGACUUUUGACCUCAGAUCAGGUAGGACUACCCGCUGAACUUAA